ensembl:lncRNA
GGCUGAACGUGACGAGAAGCUGUUCAGCCGUUUUAGUGUCGCCAGUUUUGCGCUUUUCUACGAGAAACGAUUCGGGUGAAUUUUUGGGGAGAUAAGCUUGUAAACCAUGGAUGCAGAUCAUCUUUAAAAUCGGGAAACUGAAUGCGUUAGAAAAAAACGGGGUGUGUGUAUUUUUGUGGCUGCGUGCUACACUUUACGUCGUGCCAACGUCGGCCUAGGCUGAAUGUUUACGUCGCCAUACGUCGUCUAAAUGUCGUCACCUACAUACAGGACGGGACCUCUGUGGAGUUUAAUGACGUUAAUUAAAGUCAACCUGCUUUUGGUCUAUAAAGUGGUAAAGGCUGAUGAAUUGGCUGGAUUGAAGCCCAACUCAGUGUGCAAAUAGAACCAAACAGCCACUGAACACUGAGUUUAAUUAAAUCAGUAGUAAAACUAACUAAUAAUUGUGUAAUACUGUCUAGAUUUAAUCUCGUGUGCAUUUAUUCACACGACACAUGUGAAAGACAAAUCUCAGACGAUUCCCAUUUAGUUCACUGACCCUCAGUUUGUUAAUCCAAUAGAUUAUGACUAAUUUAAAAGUUAAAAUAGUUAUUAAGAAUAUAAAACUCUUGAGUUUCUUAUAGAACUGCGCUGGACCUCAAGUGACAGGUGUGAGCAAUCCAGUCCCCCCAAAAAAUAGAUGAACCAGAUUACCAGUGUCCUUCAGUGUCUCCCCAGUCACAGGAUCUGAAUCUAAUAAAACACCUUUGGGAUGUAGCACAACAGCUCUGAUUCAGGUGCUCACAUGUGUGGAACAGUUGAAGAGUCAGGUAUCUGACCUGAACCGGAAGGUUGACGUGCUGCUCCGGCAGAACAGCUCUCUGCUGAGUGAUGAUGAUGAUGAUGUGGAAGAUGUCCAGGCUGGUUUGCCACUGUGGACGUUCGAGGACGUGGAAGUGCUGGAGCAGAAACUGCAAGAUGAGAUGUAUAACAAGCUACUGGUUACAACAGCUGAUGUGCUGUCUGCUUCAGUGCAGGAGGUCCAGCUCUCAUCUGUAGUAAGUAACUUGCUUUUCUGUAACUUGCCUUCAAAAUAAAAGUCUAAAAACUUUGCCAGAGCCAGUUUAAGGGGAGCCUGCCCUGCUGGAAAAAGAUCAACAGAACCAUUAGGAUUAAACCUGAGUUUUUUUUUUUUUGUUUGUUUUUUUUUUGUUGCUUUCUAAUGGGAACUGGCUUAAUGGUUACAAUUUGACACCUCUAGUUCCCUGUAGGACACAUUUUGACCCCUUCACAUGUAUCUGUAGUCAGUCCCAGAAC